rnacentral:lncRNA from 1 species
CCCCCCAAGUUGAACCCCACAAAGGUGAUUCCCUGUACUGCCAUUCAAUAUUAAGGAAAACAAAGUCAUACUAUGCUCUCCGGUUCUUUUCUUUUUAGCUUGAGAAUUUUGAAAACUACAGUUUAUGUAAUUUUGUUUCAUCUAAUAGAAUGAAAAUAAGGGGAAAAUGAUUGAACAAACUAAUAGAACACACCCUCGGCAUGGAAUUGGAAGUAAAUGCGUUCCCGGAUUACCUUUAUCCUUCAUUGUAAAGAAGUUAUUACUGAAAUAUUUCAAAUGACCUACUGCCGGAUUUGUCUAUACAU